UUAUUUUUCUCUUCUCCAACUUGAGCUGCUUUGGUAUACUACAGUGAUCCCAAAUGAUCCUAGAAUUCAAGCAGGCUUGCCCUGGAACCUUGCACACAGGAACAGUGGUAACCAAGACCUGGGAAUGCUGACUUUGCUAUACAUAUGAUCAAUCCAAACCAUGCUGAUCCCACCUGACCGAAUCUUGAGUCUCACAGUAUUUUAGACUCAAGUUGUCACAUUUCUUGAAAAACAGAACUUUGACUUUAACUGUAUGGAAUCUAUGGACCAAUUUUGGGAGCACUGAUAUCUUUACAAUAUUGAAUCUUUCUAUUUGACUUAUUUUUAACUUUCCCAGGGAAUAGUUGAGAGACUGGGAGCAGUGUCCUUCACCUUAGGAAUCUGAAUCUCCUUCCAGAAGAAACUAACGCCGUUCUCAAUACAGACUUACGAGAUACACUCCCUUCCUGUUCAUAAAACUGAAGAAGAUUAACACAGCGGACUCAUGGAAAUGAGAAGACAUCACCAGAAGGGAAUCUUUU